UUUUUUUAUUUAAUUAUUUAUUUUAAGUAAUUAUGAUAGAAUUAGUAGUUUUGAAUAUUUAAAUAUAGGAACUCGGCAAAUUUAAUUCUCGCCUGUUUAACAAAAACAUGUCCUAUUGAUCUAUAAUUUUAGGUCUAACCUGCCCAAUGAAAUUAUUUGAAUGGCCGCAGUAUUUUGACUGUGCGAAGGUAGCAUAAUCAUUUGUCUUUUAAUUGAAGGCUCGUAUGAAUGGUUGGACGAGGAAUUAACUUUCUUUAUUUAAUAUUUAUGAAUUUGAUUUUUUAGUUAAAAAGCUUAAAUUUUUUUGCAAGACG
rnacentral:rRNA from 1 species